rnacentral:rRNA from 1 species
GAUCUGGCUCAGGAUGAACGCUAGCGACAGGCUAACACAUGCAAGUCGAGGGGCAGCAUAGAAGUAGCAAUACGUUGGUGGCGACCGGCGCGACGGGUGAGUAACGCGUAUGCAACCUACCUAUCAGAGGGGAAUAACCCGGCGAAAGUCGGACUAAUACCGCAUAAAACAGGGGCACCGCAUGGUGAUAUUUGUUAAAGAAAUUCGCUGAUAGAUGGGCAUGCGUUCCAUUAGGUAGUUGGUGAGGUAACGGCUCACCAAGCCGACGAUGGAUAGGGGAACUGAGAGGUUGGUCCCCCACACUGGUACUGAGACACGGACCAGACUCCUACGGGAGGCAGCAGUGAGGAAUAUUGGUCAAUGGGCGGGAGCCUGAACCAGCCAAGUCGCCGUGAAGGAAGAAGGAUCUAUGGUUCGUAAACUUCUUUUGCAGGGGAAUAAAGUGCAGGACGUGUCCUGUUUUGUAUGUACCCUGAGAAUAAGGAUCGGCUAACUCCGUGCCAGCCGCCGC